rnacentral:rRNA from 1 species
GAUGAACGCUGGCGGCGUGCCUAAUACAUGCAAGUCGAGCGAACGGACGAGAAGCUUGCUUUUCUGAUGUUAGCGGCGGACGGGUGAGUAACACGUGGAUAACCUACCUAUAAGACUGGGAUAACUUCGGGAAUCCGGAGCUAAUACCGGAUAAUAUUUUGAACCGCAUGGUUCAAAAGUGAAAGACGGUCUUGCUGUCACUUAUAGAUGGAUCCGCGCUGCAUUAGCUAGUUGGUAAGGUAACGGCUUACCAAGGCAACGAUGCAUAGCCGACCUGAGAGGGUGAUCGGCCACACUGGAACUGAGACACGGUCCAGACUCCUACGGGAGGCAGCAGUAGGGAAUCUUCCGCAAAGGGCGAAAGCCUGACGGAGCAACGCCGCGUGAGUGAUGAAGGUCUUCGGAUCGUAAAACUCUGUUAUUAGGGAAGAACAUAUGUGUAAGUAACUGUGCACAUCUUGACGGUACCUAAUCAGAAAGCCACGGCUAACUACGUG